GGUACGACUCUCGACAAUGGAUAUCUCAGCCCUCGCAUCGAUGAAGAAUGUAGCGAAAUGUGAUACGUGGUGUGAAUUGCAGAAUCCUGCGAACCAUCGAGCUUUGAAUGCAAGUUGCACCCGAGGCCAUCAGGCCGAGGGCAUGCCUGCCUGGGCAUCACAC
rnacentral:rRNA from 1 species